GGGGGAACGGACACGAGUGACUGCAAGAGGCUAAGCGGAUUUCGGCCUGAAUUUAUAUACGAAAAUACGAGAAAAUGAAUGGGUUCUGCGGAAAUUUUAACGAAAAGGAGAAAGAAACUACAGAACAACGGCGUGAAAAGCUGCAACAUUCGUCUCCAAAUGAAAAGGAGCCGAGUCGAAAAUCGCAAGAGUUUCCAGUAAUUAGUUUGUGAAAGGUAUGAAAAUCAUCCCAA